UGUAUCUGAAGCCUGACGAGGAUGAGAACCUCCGGGGGCAAGAGGUUCGACCCGAGCGAAGCGAGAGAACGUUGCGUCA
rnacentral:sRNA from 1 species